GGCUCCAACCUUCUCCCUUCCUCAUUCAGCACCUUUAAAGAAGCUGUAAUAAUAUUGACCAUAAACUUUAGGCCCAGAUUCUGCCAUACCAGGAGAGAGCUGGAUCUACUGAAGCAUCUGCUGCUGCAAUCACAAUCGGAACUGAAAAAAUGGUAUAUCACUUUUUUCUUAGUCAUUCAGAGCCAUAACCUCAGCUGGUGGAAUCUGAAGCCUGAGGAGGUGUACUCGUUUCUAUCAGCUGAGAAUUUGAUCUUAGGUUUUUUAAAACAUAUUAAAAGAUACUGUUCAAGAUAGUAACAUUUUUCUACUACACAGAUCUCAUUCCUUAAAACUUUUUGUUUACCUGUAAUUAAAUGUAAAAAAUGAAAUACUAAAAAGAAAUGCCUUUGUUAACCCAACUGAAAUCUGGAAGUUUUGGGUCAUGGUAAAUUCAUCACCUUCUUUUAUUCUAUGCUUUUCAAAAAUUUUAUUGGAAAAGAAAAUAUCAGCAAAUGCUAGUUAGAAAAAUGAUAGCUAAGGGAUAGCUCACUCACAGGAGUGGUCUCACUGGUGUCACUGGGGCUACUCGUGUAAGUAAAGGUUGCCCUGUUUAGCCCGAGAUUACGUAGGAAGUACGUUUAUUUUACAAAUCCUGGGUAUUGCUGCUGCAGAAACAUCAAAAUACUUUGGGUGGGAUCUUGAAAGGCAGUGAGCAAUCCCAUUGCCUAUUGAAUUUAGUGGGAGAUGCAGUUGCUCACCACCAGUCAAUACCUCCAUCUAUAAGGUUGAGUUGAACUUUGCAUUUAGGGCAGGAAUUUAAAGGUAGUACACAUGCAAGACUUGAUUCGCCUCUCACUUACAUUCGCUGCACACUUGUGGAACUCCCUGAGUUCAGAGGAGUUUUUCCUGAUGUACAAAGGUGCAAAGGAGAUUAGGGAAUACUGUACGUCAUAUGUAUGCACACAGAGUGGGAGAUUACUUGACCCAUCACUGAAAGACAGACAUGGAUUUUAAUUUAGAUUUGUACACUGUGAAUAAAAAGUUCAUCUGAAGGGCAAAUCACUGAUCAUCUUCCCUUCCUCAGUCUACUCCUGAGUAUCUAAUUAGCCCUUGGAAGGAGUGUGAAUCUUAGAUUUACACAGAUUAGAAUUUGCUUCGACAUGUCUGUCAAAAGCUGGCUAGAAAGAAAUAGCUUGCAAACAUCCAUGGUAAGUGGAGAGAUUGCUCACCAUUUCCUACAACAGAUGUGACAUGUAAAGGGAAGGCUAUGGUUCUAUACGUCACUCAAUAUAUCACACAGAAGGGAGGACCUGUGCUGUCUGUGAUAGCAAGCUAACGUUCCAUUUUCACAAAACCCAUCAGUUAACAUUCCAUUUCCUCUAAUCUAUAGCUGACCAAAUGCUUCUUACUGAACUUCUCUAAGCAUCUUGUCAUCCAUGAUAGCGCAGCCACUUUGUUAACUUUCUUCUGAAUCUAUGGUUUUAAAGCUGCUAAAGAGAGCUGAUAUCUCCACAUAUAAUAAACUUCUGUUUAUGAAAGUCACCAUGAAAGAAGACGUGACGCACAUGAUAGAGGGGAUUAACGCUGUAUGAUAUGAGGUCAAGAGCUGAGUGAUCAAUCCUCAGAUGCCUUUCAUCAGCAAC